ensembl:lncRNA
GAAGGCAGGAGGAGAAGGGGAUGACAGAGGAUGAGAUGGUUGGAUGGCAUCAUCGACUCGAUGGAAACUAGUUUGAGCAAGUUCUGGGAGUUGGUGAUGGACAGGGAAGCCUGGUGUGCUACAGUCCAUGAGGUCGAAAAGAGUCGGACACGACUGAGCAACUGAACUGAAUUGAACUGAACUGAAGGAAGGGGAUCUUCCCAACCCAGGGAUCAAACCCAGGCCUCCUGUAUUGCAGGCAGAGUCUUAACCAUCUGAGUCACCAGGGAAGCCCAAGGCUCCUCCAUCCAUGGGACCCUCCAGGCAAGAGUACGUGCUUGGGCUCAGUAGCUGCAGAAGCGGUGGCUCAUAGGCUUAAUUGCUCCUCUUCAUGUUGAAUCUUCCUGGCUAGGGAUCAAACCUAAAUCCCCUCCAUUGGCCAGCGGACUCUUAUCCACUUCACCAACAAGUCAAGUCCAAAUAUUAACCCUUUCUAUUCCUCUUUUUUGCUCCUGACAUUCCAUGUUUCCUUCUGUUAUCAUUCUCCUUCUCCUUUCAAGAACUUCCUUUAGCAAUUUUUUAAAUUAAGUUCACUAAGAACAAAUUCACUCAAUUUUCCUUCAUCUGAGAAUGGCUUCAUUUCAUUUUCAUUCCUAAAGUAUAUUCUUACUGGAUAUAUAAUUCUGUUAACAGUUCCUUUCUCUUAGCACUUGAAAAAUGUGCUGUUUCCUUCUGGCCUCUAUGGGUUCUAAUGAGAAAUCACAAGAAUUAGAGACAUUCUGCCCCAGUAGGCAAUGUAUCAUUUUUCUAGGACUGCUGGGCACAUUCAAGAGUUGGUUUUUUUGUUUUUUCUUUUAGUUUUCAGUAAUUUGAUUUAUGAUGUUUUAGGGCAUUAUGAUAGUUUGGGGCCUAUUCUUUUGGGAUUGACUCAACUUCUUCAAACCGUAGGUUAUACCUUCCCCCAAUUCAUGAAGCUUUCAAUCAUUAUCUAUUCAAAUAUUUUUUUCAGCCC